rnacentral:rRNA from 1 species
AGAGUUUGAUCCUGGCUCAGGACGAACGCUGGCGGCGUGCUUAACACAUGCAAGUCGAACGGAAAGGCCCCUCGGGGUACUCGAGUGGCGAACGGGUGAGUAACACGUGGGUGAUCUGCCCUGCACUCUGGGGUAAGCCUGGGAAACUGGGUCUAAUACCGGAUAGGACCGCAUGCUUCAUGGUGUGUGGUGCAAAGCUUUUGCGGUGUGGGAUGAGCCCGCGGCCUAUCAGCUUGUUGGUGGGGUAAUGGCCCACCAAGGCGACGACGGGUAGCCGGCCUGAGAGGGUGACCGGCCACACUGGGACUGAGAUACGGCCCAGACUCCUACGGGAGGCAGCAGUGGGGAAUAUUGCACAAUGGGCGCAAGCCUGAUGCAGCGACGCCGCGUGAGGGAUGACGGCCUUCGGGUUGUAAACCUCUUUCAGUAGGGACGAAGCGAAAGUGACGGUACCUACAGAAGAAGGACCGGCCAACUACGUGCCAGCAGCCGCGGUAAUACGUAGGGUCCGAGCGUUGUCCGGAAUUACUGGGCGUAAAGAGCUCGUAGGUGGUUUGUCGCGUUGUUCGUGAAAACUCACAGCUUAACUGUGGGCGUGCGGGCGAUACGGGCAGACUAGAGUACUGCAGGGGAGACUGGAAUUCCUGGUGUAGCGGUGGAAUGCGCAGAUAUCAGGAGGAACACCGGUGGCGAAGGCGGGUCUCUGGGCAGUAACUGACGCUGAGGAGCGAAAGCGUGAGUAGCGAACAGGAUUAGAUACCCUGGUAGUCC